GUGCCUAAUACAUGCAAGUCGUACGCACUGGCCCAACUGAUUGAUGGUGCUUGCACCUGAUUGACGAUGGAUCACCAGUGAGUGGCGGACGGGUGAGUAACACGUAGGUAACCUGCCCCGGAGCGGGGGAUAACAUUUGGAAACAGAUGCUAAUACCGCAUAACAACAAAAGCCACAUGGCUUUUGUUUGAAAGAUGGCUUUGGCUAUCACUCUGGGAUGGACCUGCGGUGCAUUAGCUAGUUGGUAAGGUAACGGCUUACCAAGGCGAUGAUGCAUAGCCGAGUUGAGAGACUGAUCGGCCACAAUGGAACUGAGACACGGUCCAUACUCCUACGGGAGGCAGCAGUAGGGAAUCUUCCACAAUGGGCGCAAGCCUGAUGGAGCAACACCGCGUGAGUGAAGAAGGGUUUCGGCUCGUAAAGCUCUGUUGUUGGAGAAGAACGUGCGUGAGAGUAACUGUUCACGCAGUGACGGUAUCCAACCAGAAAGUCACGGCUAACUACGUGCCAGCAGCCGCGGUAAUACGUAGGUGGCAAGCGUUAUCCGGAUUUAUUGGGCGUAAAGCGAGCGCAGGCGGUUGCUUAGGUCUGAUGUGAAAGCCUUCGGCUUAACCGAAGAAGUGCAUCGGAAACCGGGCGACUUGAGUGCAGAAGAGGACAGUGGAACUCCAUGUGUAGCGGUGGAAUGCGUAGAUAUAUGGAAGAACACCAGUGGCGAAGGCGGCUGUCUGGUCUGCAACUGACGCUGAGGCUCGAAAGCAUGGGUAGCGAACAGGAUUAGAUACCCUGGUAGUCCAUGCCGUAAACGAUGAGUGCUAGGUGUUGGAGGGUUUCCGCCCUUCAGUGCCGGAGCUAACGCAUUAAGCACUCCGCCUGGGGAGUACGACCGCAAGGUUGAAACUCAAAGGAAUUGACGGGGGCCCGCACAAGCGGUGGAGCAUGUGGUUUAAUUCGAAGCUACGCGAAGAACCUUACCAGGUCUUGACAUCUUGCGCUAACCUUAGAGAUAAGGCGUUCCCUUCGGGGACGCAAUGACAGGUGGUGCAUGGUCGUCGUCAGCUCGUGUCGUGAGAUGUUGGGUUAAGUCCCGCAACGAGCGCAACCCUUGUUACUAGUUGCCAGCAUUAAGUUGGGCACUCUAGUGAGACUGCCGGUGACAAACCGGAGGAAGGUGGGGACGACGUCAGAUCAUCAUGCCCCUUAUGACCUGGGCUACACACGUGCUACAAUGGACGGUACAACGAGUCGCAAGCUCGCGAGAGUAAGCUAAUCUCUUAAAGCCGUUCUCAGUUCGGACUGUAGGCUGCAACUCGCCUACACGAAGUCGGAAUCGCUAGUAAUCGCGGAUCAGCAUGCCGCGGUGAAUACGUUCCCGGGCCUUGUACACACCGCCCGUCACACCAUGGGAGUUUGUAACGCCCAAAGUCGGUGGCCUAACCUUUAUGGAGGGAGCCGCCUAAGG
rnacentral:rRNA from 1 species